rnacentral:sRNA from 1 species
GAGAGUCAGUGCUUAUGCACCGAAGGGGCAUAUCGGAAUAGCAAUGACGACCUGCCGCUGAGCAUAGCGAGGGGGCAACACAACAA